rnacentral:rRNA from 1 species
AGCCGGCGGACGAGUGAGUAACACGUGGGUAACCUGCCCAUAAGACCGGGAUAACAUUCGGAAACGAAUGCUAAUACCGGAUACGCGAAGCGGUCGCAUGAUCGAAUCGGGAAAGGCGGAGCUAUCUGCCACUUAUGGAUGGACCCGCGGCGCAUUAGCUAGUUGGUGGGGUAACGGCUCACCAAGGCUACGAUGCGUAGCCGACCUGAGAGGGCCAUCGGCCACACUGGGACUGAGACCCGGCCCAUACUCCUACCGGAGGCAGCAGUAGGGAAUCUUCCGCAAUGGACCCAAAUUCUGACGGAGCACCGCCUCGUGAGUGAUGAACGUUUUCCGAUCGUUAACCUCUAUUGCCAUGGAAGAACGCUUGCGACAGUAACUGCUCGCACGGCCACUGUACCUGAUAAGAAACCCCCGGCUUACUACGUGCCAGCACCCCCAGUAAUACGUAGGGGGCCACCAUUUUCCGGAAUUAUUUGGCCUAAAGCGCGCGCACGCUGCCUUGUAAGUCUCUCGCUUAAGCUCGGAGCUCAACUUCGACUCUCGUUGUAAACUGCUGAGCUUGAGUGCUGAAAAUCACCGUGUA